rnacentral:lncRNA from 1 species
AUAUAUAGUAUCUAAUAUACUGUGAAAGUACAAAAGGAAUAGAAAAAAUCGUUAUUUUAUAUAUAAUGAUUACAGUAAAACCGACAGGUAGGCUAGUACAAAAUUAACCACACAUAUUUCCCUGCUUUCUCCAUCAACGAUCUCUUCCAGACAACCCCUAUCAGUGAGUACAUCUGCGUCCCCCCUUAACUUCAAUUUCCUAAAAUUGUUGUGUUUCUUCUCAUGAUGAUUUUACAGGUACCUUGUUGAUUUUAAGUUCCAUUGCAAAGAGGAAGGAUGCUCGAUUUAGCCUUUGUAUACAUGUUGAUAGGAUGAUCGUUAAUAUAUAUAUGUUGUUAAAUGUGAUUCAUUGGCACUAGUUUUUGGUUCGCAUGAUAUUGGGCCUAUUUGUUUCGGCUUCUAGCCAGAUUCUGAGAUUCUGGCCGUGAGAAUCGACUUCUGGUAGCAAAACGUUUCGAUUCUCAGUACGCCCAUGUGAGAACGUGAAUAACACCUAAAUCGACGUAAAUAUAGAAUCCAACGAGUCUUCGCGACGAGAGGAGUCCACCACCUCCUAAACUCUAAACCAUACGGACCUCCUUAUCUGCCUCUACAUGUAAGCCUCAUGAUGUCCAGAUUCUCGUGACAACUAGAUUAUCUAGGAAUCUGGAUUCUUAGAAAUGCUCUUUAGAAAAAAAAAUAUGUACAAAAUAGGCCCUUGUUCUUGCAGACCUGAUCAUUUUACGUAUACUCCAUUAUUCUGAACGCGCGCCGGACUUGAUUAUUGCCUGUCAUCUUGUCAAGAUUAUUACGACGACGAUAUGGCUGCAACUGUAAUAGUAUAUCGUUAACAACGCAUAGUUAUAUGUAUAUAUGCGCAGACAUAAAAAUCCGGAGAAGAUCAUAUCACAUUGCAUCUAGCCGGUCAGAUUCAGGUACCCGGUUCCGUUUCCACGGCGGACAUGGAAUUCGGCCAUCCACUCCAUCUUUGAACCGGGAAUAUAAUAUAUUCAGGAACUGGAUGAAGGUUGUGACAGUGACAGAGAUCGGUUCCCGGACAAGCAGGGGGUUCCAUGGCCUUGAGCUGUCAGAUCAGUUUCUUUGCCGUGGGAUUAUUGGUGACACCCACACCGCAAUGGCGCGUGACGUCCACUCCCCACUCCCCACCGCGAACAUGGUGGAUUGGAUGGAUGCUCGGAAUAAUAUAGCUAGCGUGCCAUGGCCGCCCGUAGUUGCCGGAGCUCCGAUGCUU